rfam:Schistosoma margrebowiei strain Zambia genome assembly, scaffold: SMRZ_scaffold0002880
AUCCAGCUGACGAGUCCCAAAUAUGACGAAACGCACGUCCUGGGAU